UACGGAGGGGGCUAGCGUUGUUCGGAAUUACUGGGCGUAAAGCGCGCGUAGGCGGACCUGCAAGUCGGGGGUGAAAGCCCGAGGCUCAACCUCGGAACUGCCUUCGAUACUGCGGGUCUUGAGUCCGGGAGAGGUGAGUGGAAUUCCUAGUGUAGAGGUGAAAUUCGUAGAUAUUAGGAAGAACACCAGUGGCGAAGGCGGCUCACUGGCCCGGUACUGACGCUGAGGCGCGAAGGCCAGGGGAGCAAACGGG
rnacentral:rRNA from 1 species